rnacentral:rRNA from 1 species
UACGUAGGGUGCAAGCGUUGUCCGGAUUUAUUGGGCGUAAAGAGCUCGUAGGCGGUCUGUCGCGUCGGAUGUGAAAACCCGGGGCUCAACCCCGGGCCUGCAUUCGAUACGGGCAGACUAGAGUUCGGUAGGGGAGUCUGGAAUUCCUGGUGUAGCGGUGAAAUGCGCAGAUAUCAGGAGGAACACCGGUGGCGAAGGCGGGACUCUGGGCCGAUACUGACGCUGAGGAGCGAAAGCGUGGGGAGCAAACAGG